GAUAAAUCUUGUCUUGUUGUCAUGAUACUUAUAUAUGAGUUUAAAACAUUCUGAAAACGUUUAACUAUUAUCCAGAAUUAUUUUCUUGGAGCUAUCCUAAUAUGUGUUGUUAUUCGAGUAUGAGUAAAAUAUUGUUCAUUAAAGUUGCAUGAACAGCCCAAGUGCAUGUGCUGCCGCAGAUAGUCGAAAACUUUUACAAGACAAUAAGCAAGAACAUGCAGCGAGAAAAAGUAGAGAAACAAGAAAGUCCUUGAACAACUUUCGCAUGCAAAAUUUGCACAAUAACAAGCUUGACGGUACCUUUAUUAUAUAUCAAGAUAUAAGUAGGAUUUGGUGGUAUAUUAUUAUUAUCAUUCAACAGGGAACAUGCUAAUGAAUUACUAAAAUUAAUGUUUUUCAAGAAUUUUUAGUAAUAUAGAUUUAUACUUUAAUAAAAUAAAUAAA
rnacentral:lncRNA from 1 species